rfam:Myotis brandtii contig195410, whole genome shotgun sequence.
GGCAGUUCUCAGGUGACGCACCUCGGAAUCGGGCUCCUUCCUCUCUGGUUCCGGGUGCGUCAUCUGAGAACCGCA